GGAAGGAUCAUUAACACGUCUACACGUACUCACCCCCCGUGCACGAGUAAGCGGAAGUCACCCUCGUUCGUCUGCUUCUAGGAGCAUUUGUGUCGAGGGUCACAGCGUAGUUGGGUCUUUGUACCUUAGCUCGCUCUUCUCUUCAUUCACGUUAAUCCCCUUAGCCUGUCCUCAGGCGUCUUUAGUUGUGCAGAGCUUCGUGCUCCUGUUGAUUGUAUAUCAAUACAUAACAACUCUUAGCAAUGGAUAUCUCGGUUCUCGCAUCGAUGAAGAACGCAGCGAAAUGCGAUACGUCAUGCGAAUUGCAGAACUCAGUGAAUCAUCAAAUCUUUGAACGCAAAUGGCGCUCUCGGGUAUGCCCGGGAGCACGCCUCUCUCAGUAUCGGUUCUACACUCCUCCUGCUCGCAGCGAGGGACAUUGGGAGUCGAGCGGUCGCGCUCGUCUCCUUAACAUGUGGAAGGCAUCGCAGCGGCUGGUUGAGCCUCCGCUGCGCUCUGCGGCGCUUUCGCCUAGACUGACGUGAUUAAGCGGUUUAUACGCAUCUACGUCCUCCUAGCGCGCCGACAGUGAGCUGACCCAGCAAGAACAACAACGGCGACCUAGUCGCUCUGACUUUGAUCUGAGAUGAAGCGGGAAGACCCCCUGAAUUUAAGCAUAUUAAUAAGGGGAGGAAAAGAAACUAACAAGGAUUCCCUUAGUAACGGCGAGUGAAGCGGGAAGAGCUCAAUGUGACAAUCGAUCUUCCUUGAUUUGAAGGUCGAGUUGUAGUCUUUGGACGGAUGUAUCAGCGUUGUCGCUUCAUGUAAGUCUGUUGGAAUGCAGCGUCGGAGAGGGUGAGAAUCCCGUCUGUCAUGAAGUCGCCGAGUGCACGACGCGUACGAUCUCUGUUCCUCGAGUCGAGUUGCUUGGGAGUGCAGCUCUAAGUAGGUGGUAAGUUUCAUCGAAAGCUAAAUAUAGGCGAGAGACCGAUAGCGAACAAGUACCGUGAGGGAAAGAUGAAAAGAACUUUGAAAAGAGAGUUAAACAGUACUUGAAAUUGCUAGGAGGGAAGCGCUGACAAGUAGUCCUCUGUGUCCUCAUAUUCGCAUGUGUAGACGGCGUGCGCGCGGCAACGUAGUUGGCAACUCUGCCUGCUGCGCCGCGCGUCGUCUCGCGUGUUUAGUGAGGGCGCGGGAUUCAGCAUCCAUUCGCUGCUGCGGAGACGGUCGAAGGGAAGGUAGGGCCCGCUUUCGGGUUGGCCUGUUAUAGCCCUUCUUGCCCACGCGGCGGUGGAUGGAGGAAGAAAGAGUGCGCUGCUUGCGGCUCUCGGCGCGUGUUCCUGCACGUUGUCGCCUGGCUAGAUAGCAAUGCUAUGUACUGGGCGGCGGUGGGUACUGGGUGCGCGUCGAGAUGUACUCUCACGAUGCUGAAGAAAUGCUUGUCAUCGACCCGUCUUGAAACACGGACCAAGGAGUCUAACAUCUAUGCGAGUAGUGGGGUGUGUUAAACCCGCAUGCGGAAUGAAAGUAAAGAUUGAGGUUUCUCAAUUGAGGUAGGAAUCUGUAUGGCGACAUAUGGAGGCACUAUCGACCGAUCGUCACUUGUGAUAGAUUUGAGUGCAAGCAUAUCUGUUGGGACCCGAAAGAUGGUGAUCUAUGCCUGAACAGGGUGAAGCCAGGGGAAACUCUGGUGGAGGCUCGUAGCGAUACUGACGUGCAAAUCGUUCGUCUGAUUUGGGUAUAGGGGCGAAAGACUAAUCGAACCAUCUAGUAGCUGGUUCCCUC
rnacentral:misc_RNA from 1 species